AACAAAUAUCAGUGUUAAGUGACCAUUUUUGCCAUUUUCCUCCAAAGUAUUUAAGUCAUAACUGGAAAACAAAGGGAAAUCGAAAAAGAAAAAUGUGGGGAUCCGUCUUGGUUUUACAGGUCCCUUCGCCUUCUCUGAAGUUCAAAUUUCAAAUUCCAAAACCUAGAAAUUGGGCAUGGAUGAACAAGUACAGCUCAAUUCGAUGUGCCGGGAAAGUCAAUCGAUGGUCCCUUGAUGGCAUGAAUGCCCUUGUCACUGGUGGUACUAGAGGCAUUGGGCAUGCAAUAGUGGAGGAAUUGUGUGGACUGGGAGCCACUGUGCAUACGUGUGCCCGGAAUGAAGAUGAGCUUGGAACAUGUUUGAGGAGCUGGAAAGAUGAGGGCUUUACAGUUUCUGGUUCCUUAUGUGAUGUGUCUUCUCAAGUUGAUCGCCAAAACUUAAUGGAGGUUGUUUCGUCUACAUUCAAUGGGAAGCUCGACAUUCUUAUAAACAACGCGGGGACCAAUAUUCGCAAAGCUAUGGUGGAUUUUACUGCUGAAGAGUUUUCCAGCGUCAUGGCAACAAAUUUUGAAUCUGUUUUCCAUCUGUGUCAGCUAGCCUAUCCCCUUCUGAAAGCAUCCGGGGCUGGAAGUGUUGUGUUCACUUCCUCUGUCUCAGGUUUUGUCUCAUUGAAAUCUAUGUCUUUACAAGGAGCAACAAAAGGAGCAAUUAAUCAACUUACAAAAUAUUUGGCAUGCGAGUGGGCUAAAGACAACAUCAGGAGUAAUGCUGUUGCUCCUUGGUACAUCAAAACAUCCAUGGUGGAGCAAUUAAAAGAGACAAACUUGAUGAAAAGGCAGUUCGUGAAAUCUCUGUGGUUUAUAGCUUAUCCUCCAAGGCUUACGAAGUAUUAACUCACAAACAAGGAAGACGAUUGUCAGUAGAGAUGUGCACUUUUUUGACAAAGAGAAAUGGGACUGGAAGGACAAUCAACUUUCAGUCAAAGUGUCAGAGGAGCAAGCAUCCGAUCAAUGGCAAAAUGAGUUAGUGGAUGAUCCUCCGAUUAGAGGUACAAGACUACUCUCUAUUACCUAGUAAUGUGGCAAUUUGUGAGCCUACGGGGCAUGAGGAAGCGCUUCAAGAUAAACAAUGGAGAAACUCUAUGGAGCAUGGGAUGCUAAUGAACAAGAAAAACAAUACUAGGGAGUUAGUUGACAUACCGAAAGAUAGGAUGGUCAUUGGACUAAAAUGAGUGUUUAGAACCAAGCUUAGUUUUGAUAGUUCUAUCAAUAAAUACAAGGCUAGGCUUGUUUUCAAGAAAUAUGCCCAAAUAUUUGGUGUUGAUUACUCAAAAACCUUUCUCCAGUAGCCCGAUUGGAUACGAUUAGACUGUUGCUAGUAAUAGUAGCACAAAAGGGCUUGAAAGUGUUCCAGCUAGAUGUGAAAUAUGCUUUUUUAAAUGGUGUACUGCAGGAAGAAAUUUAUGUAGAGCAGCCCGAGGGUUUCAUUGAGCAAGUAAAAGAAGAAAAAGUAUGUUUGGUUAGAAAGACUCUUUAAGCUUAAAACAAGCUCCAAGAGUGUGGUCUAGCAGGAUUGAUGAUCACUUGUUGAGUUCGGGGUCUGUAGGAAGUGUAUCUGAUGUUAAUCUUUAUUUCAAACAUAAAUGAAUUGAUCUUUUCAUUGUUCCAUUUAUGUUGAUGAUCUCUUGGCGAUGGGAAAGAUUGUGUGGCUGGUUGAAGAGUUUAAGGAGUGCAAGUCUUUGAGAUGACAGACCUUGGCUGAGAUUUUUUUUUUCAACGACAUCAACAAAUCAAACCUUAUGGCUGAGAUUUUUUUUUCCUGAUUUGCAUAUGGAACAAAAGGUUAAUGCACUAGCUAUUUUACAUAAUCCAGUGUUCAAUGGGAAGACUAAACACAUCAACAUCAAGCUAUUUUUCUUGAGGUACUGAGUAAUAAAGAUUAUUUACAAGAAGUAUAUGACCGCACUCCACUGGGGCGCCUGGGAGAACCAUCUGAGGUUUCAUCUCUUGUGGGAUUCCUUUGUUUGCCUGCAUCUUCCUACAUCACUGGUCAGAU